UAAACUAAUUUUGUUUACUUUUGAAGAUAGUUUGUUUACUACUUCUCAUUAUAUUAAGUAUAAUUUGAAGCAAUGUUUUGUUUACUUUUGAAUUUGAUUGUGAGUUGAUAGUCAGAUUUGGUUCUGGAAUUAGCUGAUUUAGAAGUUGUUGUAAAGAAUAUUUGUUGGUGUUGUUCAGUUAAGGUAAGUUGGUGGGAGUUAUUCUGCUAUAAUUUUGUUGCACUUGGUGAUUAUCUAACUCAAAAGUAAAGCAAAAACUGAAAAAAGUAAAUAGAAAUGAUCUAAAAGUAAACAAAAUAGGGCCAGGUUCUGGUUCGUAUGUAUUGUAGGUCAUGUAAGUGUGGUGCUGGAGUUCCUGAGGAUGCAUCAGGAAAUGAAUGUGUGACUACUCCUUACCAAGGACUAGGGUAGGUUUAAUCGGAUUCCGGUACACAUAUCUUUGGGCAUAUCGUUAAAUGUAUUACGGAGUACUUAGUCCUUUUUGUGUUUCUGAGAUGGAACCAGAUGAUAAGAAAGAUUGGUGAUGUUUUAUCAAUAUAAUCUGUAAACAAAUGAGAAUUUUUAUGGUAUAGAUAUACAGAUUUCCAGCAAAUGGAUGUCAACUGCAAGGAACUGAGCUGAAUAUUGGAUCCUCUGUAGGGUUGUAGGCUUGUAGCCAAAGCUGCUUUAUUAGUCAUACAAAAGUAAUGCACCUGGUUUGAUUUAGUUAUAUAUAUAUAUAUAUAUAUAUAUAUAUAUAUAUAUAUAUAUAUAUAUAUAUAUAAAUAUAUGAGUACAGUGAUGGGGCAGUUUACUUGUGUUUUACUGUCAGCUUAUUGUUCGAGUUAACCCUGACAACCUGUUGAUCAUCAGUACCCUCUUCAUCAUGGCUGUGUUGUUAUUCCAACUGUUGGAAAUUUCCACUUGUUGAUCUUCUUGAGAAGUUAUCACUCUCCUGAUCUCUAUUAUGCCACUGCUGAAGUACUUAUCAGCAAUAAAGACAUUGAUCUCUCCAUCCUCUGCCUUCUUCACAAGAGUCUACGGAACAGAUUAGGACUUCCCCACAAGAGUCUUGCAUUUGUUUUCUGAAUGCUUGUUAACGCCUAUUAGCUCAAAUGGUAUAUCAAUGUGCCAAUGCACAUAAGUGUAGGUUCAAAUCCUACAUAGGCUAGAAUAUAUACAAGGACUUUUAUAUUUUACUUGCAAAUAAGGGGGAAAAGAUAACAGUAGAUAAAAAAAUUCUAAAAGUAAAUUAAAACAAAUCAAAAGUAAACAUAUAUUUGAAUUAUAUUAAUAUAUUUACUAGCUUGAAUACUGAACAUUGGGCUUUUUGAUGUUUAUUGCCUUUUUGGUUAGCUUGAAUCCAAUUUAUAAAUGUUAGAUGUUGGACCAGUUUGGUGUGUUGGUCUGGUAUGAGCCUGCAAACAGUCAUGUGUUCAUGGCUGGUUGUUCGAGCCUGCAUUCAGUCUUUUUGGAGGUCUGAUUCAUUGAGGCGGGCAGUGAUGCUCGUUUACUAAGUCAGGGGGCGGGUUUGCAGUUGGUUUCUGCAAGUGCAAUAAUGCACCAUGCUUCUUCUGUUUGCUGGCUAUUGGUUUUAGUAUGCCAGUUAGCAAUUCAAAAAAUAAGGGUAAACUAUUAUUUUCUCUAAUUUUAAAAGUGGAUCAAAACUUUGUAAAAGUAAAUUAAUAGGGUCAAAAGUAAAUUCAUUUGUAGAGCUUGAUAUGAACUCUUACGAGCCUUUUCCAUAAAUAAGGUGCCCCAAUAACAUUCCUUUACCAUACCUCAUCUGUGUUGCUGUCUACCCCAAAAAAAUAGAAGUAAUCGAAUAAGAAAGCAUCAUAUGAGGUCAACGGUCAAAGUAAAGGUCUUUAAAGUAAAAGUAAAUAAAUUUAUACAAAAAGUAAAUAAAUAAAUACAAAAAGUAAAGAUGAAGCUACGUGGAAUUUGAACUCGUAUCUUUUGCACAAAGCACUACCCAUUGAGCUAACAGGCUAGUGUUAUUUUAAGAUAGAGUUAAAGUAACAAGAAUACAAUAUAUUUUACCUUAUUUUCAAACUAAAGUAGAUAAAGAACCCGUAAUAGUAAAUAGAAUCAAUUCAAAAGUAAAUAUCAUCAAAUAGACAAUAACACAGACAUAGUACCUUUGUCAUUUCACUAAACAACACCUAUCCCAACUCCAAAAGAACCCAACAGCCCUUUAACUAGCUUCGAGGAGAAUGAAAUAUUCUGAAGUAAUUCGGAAAAUCUAAGAAAAUAAUAUAAACUUAAAAGUAAACAAUAUAGAAUCAAAAGUAAAUAAAGGAAACUCAAAAGUAAACGAGCCCUACGUGGGAUUCGAACACACAUCUUUUGUGCUUUUGCACAAUGCUCUACCAAUUGAGCUAGUAGGCUAGUGUUUUUAAAUAAACUAAAUAAAAGUAAAGCAAAAAAAAACACCAUGAUUUCCUCCAAUGCCUAUCUAUCUUAAAGUAGACUAAUUCUCUAUAAAACUAAACUAAAUUUCUGCAAAUGUAAACUAAAUCCUUUAAGGUGUCGUGGCUGAUUUUUUAGAACAAGCAAUUAUGUGAAGGAGGAUACUAGAAUCAAAAAGGUAUUGGAAUGAGUCGGAAUCCAAAUUGUGCAUGUGAGUGGAAAUGAAAAAACAGGGGGAAAAGGAAAUAGAAAGGAUCCCGGAAGAAUUAUGGUUUUGAAAUUUACUUGUGUUUUUGAAAGAAGAACUUGAUUUCUGAUUAGGAUAGAAGUUGCAAACAAUUUCCACCUGCAAAAAUUUGCAACAACAGAGUAAAUGAUUCCAACA